CCGGUAAGGUGACUGCGGAGGACAUUA
rnacentral:rRNA from 1 species